rnacentral:tRNA from 1 species
GCGCCGGUGGUCUAGUGGUAUGACAGCGGCCUUCCAAGCCGCUUACCUGGGUUCGAAUCCCAGCCGGCGCA